GUUAGUGGCGGACGGGUGAGUAACACGUGGGCAACCUGCCUGUAAGUUGGGGAUAACUCCGGGAAACCGGGGCUAAUACCGAAUGAUAGAAUGUGGCGCAUGCCACGCUUUUGAAAGAUGGUUUCGGCUAUCGCUUACAGAUGGGCCCGCGGUGCAUUAGCUAGUUGGUAGGGUAAUGGCCUACCAAGGCAACGAUGCAUAGCCGACCUGAGAGGGUGAUCGGCCACACUGGGACUGAGACACGGCCCAGACUCCUACGGGAGGCAGCAGUAGGGAAUCUUCCGCAAUGGACGAAAGUCUGACGGAGCAACGCCGCGUGUAUGAAGAAGGUUUUCGGAUCGUAAAGUACUGUUGUUAGAGAAGAACAAGGAUAAGAGUAACUGCUUGUCCCUUGACGGUAUCUAACCAGAAAGCCACGGCUAACUACGUGCCAGCAGCCGCGGUA
rnacentral:rRNA from 1 species